rnacentral:rRNA from 1 species
GAUGAACGCUGGCGGCGUGCCUAAUACAUGCAAGUCGAGCGAACGGACGAGAAGCUUGCUUCUCUGAUGUUAGCGGCGGACGGGUGAGUAACACGUGGAUAACCUACCUAUAAGACUGGGAUAACUUCGGGAAACCGGAGCUAAUACCGGAUAAUAUUUUGAACCGCAUGGUUCAAAAGUGAAAGACGGUCUUGCUGUCACUUAUAGAUGGAUCCGCGCUGCAUUAGCUAGUUGGUCAGGUAACGGCUUACCAAGGCAACGAUGCAUAGCCGACCUGAGAGGGUGAUCGGCCACACUGGAACUGAGACACGGUCCAGACUCCUACGGGAGGCAGCAGUAGGGAAUCUUCCGCAAUGGGCGAAAGCCUGACGGAGCAACGCCGCGUGAGUGAUGAAGGUCUUCGGAUCGUAAAACUCUGUUAUUAGGGAAGAACAUAUGUGUACGUAACUGUGCACAUCUUGACGGUACCUAAUCAGAAAGCCACGGCUAACUACGUG